UGUGGGAGCUGGCUUGCCUGCGAUAGCUGUGGUGCAUUCAACACCGUUAUCGCAGGCAAGCCAGCUCCCACA
rnacentral:ncRNA from 2 species